UUGGAGGGCAAGUCUGGUGCCAGCAGCCGCGGUAAUUCCAGCUCCAAUAGCGUAUAUUAAAGUUGCUGCAGUUAAAAAGCUCGUAGUUGAAUUUCGGGACCAUCAUGUCGGUCGUGCCUCGGUACGUACUGGUAUUGUUGGUUUCUCCCUUCUGACGAACCAUGAUGUCAUUUAUUUGGUGUUGUGGGGAAUCAGGACUGUUACUUUGAAAAAAUUAGAGUGUUUAAAGCAGGCUCACGCUUGAAUACAUUAGCAUGGAAUAAUGAAAUAGGACGUUUGAUUCUAUUUUGUUGGUUUCUAGGAUCGACGUAAUGAUUAAUAGGGAUAGCUGGGGGCAUUAGUAUUCAAUUGUCAGAGGUGAAAUUCUUGGAUUUAUUGAAGACUAACUACUGCGAAAGCAUUUGCCAAGGAUGUUUUCAUUAAUCAAGAACGAAAGUUAGGGGAUCGAAGACGAUCAGAUACCGUCGUAGUCUUAACCAUAAACUAUGCCGACUAGGGAUCGGAUGAUGUUAAUUUUUUAAUGACUCAUUCGGCGCCUUACGGGAAAC
rnacentral:rRNA from 1 species